UCAAACUCAGGUUGCAAGUACCGGGGUAGCGUUGCCAGAGUGUGUAGAUUAGAAUAGAUUAGCUUAGAUUUGACUUGACUAUGAGGAUUGAAGAGAGAUGAUGACUUGUCCCAAUGCUUAAGCUCUGUCCAGCUGGUGAUUUUUUUGACACCCGUGAAGCCACAAACAAGCCAAGUGUCUUCCACUUAUUACCAUUAAUAACUCCAUCACCCAAUUAUGAUGAAACAAUCUAUGCAGUGUUGUACCACUUUGGUUGUGUCCCAGAUGAUGAGAAGGAUGAAUGGGCGAGACUUCUGAUUGAUGGCUCUCUUUAGUACACAGCUCGGGAAAGAGUUAGAAAGAUCAUGGUUAUUCACUUUGGUCUAAAAUAAUUUGCAGGACAAUAUAUAUUGUCUUUGACAUUCAGUAGUAACAAAUUAUAAUCUUUUGGAUUUGGUGUAAUGUGUUAUGCUCAUAAUUUUGCAAACAAUUAUUUUGAGCAUAAAUAUGGGUAUUGGACAUGAAUACUUAUACUUUUGAACAAGUUUUUAUGUGAUUA